ensembl:lncRNA
AUGUCCCUGGUGUCACUCAGGUGUGUCCCAAGUGUCCCAAGUGUCCCCCAGGUGUCCCCCGGGUGUCUCAGGUGUCCCCCAGGUGUCCCUCAGGUGUCCCAGGUGUCUCAGGUGUGUCCCAAGUGUCCCCCAGGUGUCCCCCGGGUGUCUCAGGUGUCCCCCAGGUGUCACUCAGGUGUCCCUCAGGUGUCCCCCAGGUGUCCCAGGUGUCCCAGGUGUCCCAGGUGUCCCCCAGGUGUCCCUCAGGUGUCUCAGGUGUCCCUGGUGUCCCUCAGGUGUCACCCCCCAAUAAAGUCCCCAGUGCUGGUGACACCGCGGUGGCUUCAUCUGGGGGAGGGGACCCCAAAAAUGGGGAGAGGGGACAUUGGGGACCCCAAAAAUGGGGAUGGGACCCCCAAAAUUGGGAUUGGGACAAUUUGGGGACCCCAAAAAUGGGGAUGGGACCCCCAAAAUUGGGAUUGGGACGAUUUGGGGACCCCAAAAAUUGGGAUGGGGACAUUGAGGACCCCCAAAAAUGGGGAGGGGACCCCAAAAAUUGAGAUUGGGACAUUUUGGGGACCCCAAAAAUGGGGAGAGGACCCCAAAAAAUGGGAUGGGGACAUUGAGGACCCCCAAAAAUGGGAAGGGGACCCCAAAAAUUGGGAUUGGGACAAUUUGGGGACCCCAAAAAUGGGGAGAGGGGACAUUGGGGACCCCAAAAAUGGGGAUGGGACCCCCAAAAUUGGGAUUGGGACAAUUUGGGGACCCCAAAAAUUGGGAUGGGGAAAUUCUGGGGACCCCAAAAAUGGGGAUGGGACCCCAAAAAUGGGAUGGGGACAAUUUGGGGACCCCAAAAAUUGGGAGACCCCAAAAAUGGGAUUGGGACCCCAAAAUUGGGACUGGGACAAUUUGGGGACCCCAAAAAUGGGGAGAGGGGACAUUGGGGACCCCAAAAAUGGGAUUGGGACAUUCUGGGGACCCCAAAAAUUGGGAUUGGGACAUUGAGGACUCCCAAAAAUUUGGGAUGGGACCCCAAAAAUGGGAUGGGGACCCCAAAAAUUGGGAUUGGGACAAUUUGGGGACCCCAAAAAUGGGGAGGGGACCCCAAAAAAUGGGGAGAGGACCCCAAAAAUUGGGAUUGGGACAUUCUGGGGACCCCAAAAAUUGGGAUUGGGACAUUGAGAACCCCCAAAAAUUUGGGAUGGGACCCCAAAAAUGGGAUGGGGACAAUUUGGGGACCCCAAAAAUGGGGAGAGGGGACAUUGGGGACCCCAAAAAUGGGGAUGGGACCCCAAAAAUUGGGAUUGGGACAAUUUGGGGUCCCCAAAAAUUGGGAUGGGGACAUUGAGGACCCCCAAAAAUGGGGAGAGGACCCCAAAAUUGGGACUGGGACAUUUUGGGGACCCCAAAAAUUUGGAUUGGGACAAUUUGGGGACCCCAAAAAUGGGGAUGGGACCCCCAAAAUGGGAUGGGGACAAUUUGGGGACCCCAAAAAUUUGGGAUGGGACCCCAAAAUUGGGGACAAAGCCUCUCAGACACCCCGAAAUCUCCGCUCCCAAAAUUUUAUUUCCUGAACCUUUCCAGGGCUCCCCUUUUUUGGGGGGAUCCCCCCAAAUUCCGGCCGGGAAUCCCCUCCUUCCCUUUCCCGGGAUUUUUGGGCUUUCCCCGCCUUUUUCCCACUUUUUUUUGGGAUUUUUCCGGGGUUUUUUUCCCAAUUUUUGGGGAUUUUUCUCCCAAUUUUUCUCCAAUUUUUUGGGAUUUUUCCGGGGUUUUUUUCCCAAUUUUUGGGAAUUUUUCCAGGGUUUUUUCCCCAAUUUUUUGGGAUUUUUCUCCCAUUUUUUCCCCAAUUUUUUGGGAUUUUUCUCCCAAUUUUCCCCCAAUUUUUUGGGACUUUUCUCCCAAUUUUUCUCCAAUUUUUUUUGAUUUUUCUCCCAUUUUUUCCCCAAUUUUGGGGGAUUUUUCUCCCAUUUUUUCCCCAAUUUUUGGGGAUUUUUCUCCCAUUUUUUCCCCAAUUUUUUGGGAUUUUUCUCCCAAUUUUUCCCCAAUUUUUUGGGAUUUUUCUCCCAACUUUUCCCCAAUUUUUUGGGAUUUUUCUCCCAUUUUUUCCAUGAUUUUUUGGGAUUUUUCUCCCAACUUUUCUCCAAUUUUUGGGAAUUUUUCUCCCAUUUUUUCCAUGAUUUUUGGGGAUUUUUCUCCCAUUUUUUCCCCAAUUUUUUGGGAUUUUUCUCCCAUUUUUUCCCCGUUUUUCUGGGAUUUUCCCAUCAUUUUUCCCCCAUUUUUUUGAAGGAUUUCUCCCGUUUUUCCCGCGGAUUUUGGGGAUUUUCCCGCCAUUUUUCCCGCGGAUUUUGGGGGUUUUCCCGCCAUUUUUCCCGCGGAUUUUGGGGGUUUUCCCGCCGUUUUUUUCCCGGUUUUUUGGAGGAUUUUUCCCGUUUUUUCCCCGUUUUUCCUCUCCUUUUUCCUCCUUUUCCUGGGGGGUUCCCCCUCCUCGUUUUUCUCCUUCUGCUCCAAACUCUGCCGGAUCCGGGCCUGGGGGAGGAGGGGGGAAAAAUUCGGGAAUUCCCAAAAUUUGGGAAUUCCCAAAAUCCUGGGAACCCCCCCCCAAAAAAAAAGUUUGGGAAUUUCCUCAAAAAUUCCAGGAAUUCCCUGGGAAACUCUUCCCAAAUUUUUGGGGUUUUUGUUUUGGGGAUGGAGGGUGAGGACACCCAGGAAUUCCUGAAGAAUUCCCAAAAAAAAUUCCCAAAAAUUCCCCCCAAAAUUUCCCAAAAAAUCCCCCCAAAAAUCAAAAAAAAUCCCCCAAAAAUCCCUAAAAAAUUCCCAAAAAAUCCCAAAAAACUCCCAAAAAAUCCCCCAAAAAAUCCCCAAAAACCCCAAAAAAUCCCCAAAAAUUCCCAAAAAAUUCCCCCCCCCAAAAAUAUAAAAAAACCCAAAAAAAAUCCCAGAAGAAAACCAAAAAAUUCCCAAAAAAUCCCCCAAAAAUCCCAAAAAAAUUCCCAAAAAAUCCCCCCAAAAUUCCCAAAAAAUCCCCAAAAAAUUCCCAAAAAAUAAAAAAAAAUUUCCCCAAAAAUCCCCUCA